rnacentral:lncRNA from 1 species
CCCAAAAAAAAAAGAAAGAAGAAAAGAAAUUAGUGAAUGAAAAACUUAGUACUUCUAUUAAAUAAUACCUCACGAUUAAUACCUCUGCCUUUGAGCUGCACAUCAGCAACACAUACUGUGCCUAACGGCAGCUCGCAAAAAUUACUACAAAAGAACAUAAGAUAAUGUAGUCUAAACAACAUAGCACAUGGUAUGAUAUGGGUUUGCAGUACUUUUACAACAAAAUCGUACAUUUCUUAACAUUUCGCAUAAUAUUAUCAACUUUAUGCCAGAAGACAACAAAUUUUAUUGCUUGGGUAUUUAGAAUUGAGGUGAAAACAUUGGAUCCAAAACUGGUGAAAUAUACAGCAAGAACAUGUCAAUUGCUGAAGCACAAUAUGCAGCACGAAUUCGUGGUACCUUAUGAAUUUAAGUGUUAUACCUUGCCAUGGUUAAAAUUAUCAACACCAAACACUUAACACUGUAGAAUAAAAUGAAUUCCCAUGAGUUUACAACAAGAUACUUAAAGAAAAAAAGAAAUAUUGCUCACUGGGAAACAAUGUCGUGUGUGGUCGGUAAUAUGGGAGAGUAAAUGAGGAAUCUUCCGACACGAGAAGUUGAAAGAGAAUUCAUAUAUGAAUCUAUCUGAAACGCAUCCUUUUGAAAGCUCUCUUGUUCUUCAUUCUCCGAAUGCAAAACAACAUUUAUCGAAGCAUUAUCUGGAAGUUUUAUUGUGUUAUUGAUCUUCAAAAACCUGGCUAAUUCGUUCUCUGGACUUGAUUUCCCGCAUAAGAUCAACGUAGUAGGUGAUUCCAACUCCAUUUCUGCACAAACAAACACAAAAGGGAGAAAUUAGUACUGCAUAUAAUGAAGACAAGGGGGAGCUAAUGAAGAGUAGCACAUAAGAACGCCACUUGAAGAAGGCUGUGCGGCAGCCCUCUAUUGGGGGCGCACGUAUGAUCUGACCCAAGAAUCAAUUCUCGAGGCAAACAAUCUAAGCUCUUGCCCCUUAAAAUUCAUCAAUUUAAUUUAAAUUUUAUUAUCUCAUAUUUCCAAUCACACAAUUUUUAAUAAAAUAAUAUUUUACAUAAAUUGAAAAAUUUUCAUUCUUUUACAAUUAUCCAUUUUCAGAAAAAUACUAUUCUCCCAUUAUAAAUCCAAAUAAUGAGGGUCAAAAGUGGGUUAAAUUGACAAAUUUGUACUUCACGCAAGUUGGAAUUGAUUCUUAGGUCACUCCGAUUUUUCCCUCAUCAGAAUUGAUUCUUG